rnacentral:tRNA from 1 species
GCUGCUAUGGCUCAGUUGGUAGAGCGCGUCCUUGGUAAGGACGAGGUCCGCAGUUCGAAUCUGCGUAGCAGCUCCA